rnacentral:rRNA from 1 species
AACGAACGCUGGCGGCAUGCCUAACACAUGCAAGUCGAACGAUACCUUCGGGUCUAGUCGCGCGCGGGUGCGUAACGCGUGGAAACCUGCCCUUAGGUUCGGAAUAACUCCCCGUAAGGGGUGCUAAUACCGGCUAAUGUCUUCGGACCAAAGAUUUAUCGCCUUUGGAUGGGGCCGCGUUGGAUUAGCUAGUAGGUAGGGUAAAAGCCUACCAAGGCGACGAUCCAUAGCUGGUCUGAGAGGAUGAUCAGCCACACUGGGACUGAGACACGGCCCAGACUCGUACGGGAGGUAGCAGAGGGGAAUAUUGGAGCAUGGGCGAGAGGCUGAUCCAGCGAGGGCGCGAGAGUGAUGAAGGGGUUAGGGUUGUAAAGCUGUUUUGACCGGGAUGAUAGUGACGGUACCGGGAGAAGAAGCACCGGCUAACUACGUG